GCAAGUCGAGCGCACCUUCGGGUGAGCGGCGGACGGGUUAGUAACGCGUGGGAAUAUGCCCUUCACUGCGGAAUAGCCUCUGGAAACGGAGAGUAAUACCGCAUACGCCCUACGGGGGAAAGAUUUAUCGGUGAAGGAUUAGCCCGCGUUGGAUUAGGUAGUUGGUGGGGUAAUGGCCUACCAAGCCGACGAUCCAUAGCUGGUUUGAGAGGAUGAUC
rnacentral:rRNA from 1 species